AUUGAACGCUGGCGGCAGGCCUAACACAUGCAAGUCGAACGAGUGGCGGACGGGUGAGUAAUGUCUGGGAAACUGCCUGAUGGAGGGGGAUAACUACUGGAAAAGGUAGCUAAUACCGCAUACCCUCGGAAGUGCCCAGAUGGGAUUAGCUAGUAGGUGGGGUAACGGCGCACCUCGGCGACGAUCCCUAGCUGUUCUGAGAGGAUGACCUGCCACACUGGAACUGAGACACGGUCCAGACUCCUACGGGAGGCAGCAGUGGGGAAUAUUGCACAAUGGGCGCAAGCCUGAUGCAGCCAUGCCGCGUGUAUGAAGAAGGCCUUCGGGUUGUAAAGUACUUUCAGCGGGGAGGCGUUACCCGCAGAAGAAGCACCGGCUAACUCCGUGCCAGCCGCCGCGGUAAUAC
rnacentral:rRNA from 1 species